CCUACGGGUGGCUGCAGUAGGGAAUAUUGGACAAUGGGCGAAAGCCUGAUCCAGCCAUGCCGCGUGAUAGAUGAAGGCCCUCUGGGUUGUAAAUAUCUUUUAUCUGGGAAGAAACAAUCUUAUUCUUAAGAUCUUGACGGUACCAGAGGAAUAAGCACCGGCUAACUCCGUGCCAGCAGCCGCGGUAAUACGGAGGGUGCAAGCGUUAUCCGGAUUCAAGGGUUUGAAAGCGUGCUUAGAAGUGCUGAUUGAAAGCUCCGGGCUUAACUUGGGAACUGCCAUUGAUACUGCCAGUCUUGAAUGUCGUAGAGGUAAGCGGAAUGUUGCAUGUAGCGGUGAAAUGCUUAGAUAUGUUACAGAACACCAAUUGCGAAGGCAGCUUACUAUGCGAUGAUUGACGCUGAGGCACGAAAGCGUGGGGAGCAAACAGGAUUAGAUACCCGGGUAGUC
rnacentral:rRNA from 1 species